GGGUGGGCCCAUUGUUCCAGGAUGGCUGUGAAGUGUUAUAUUGUCCUUUCCCACUGCCCUGAGCAAGUGUUUCCAACAACCUCAGUGUAGCUCAACUCUAUAGUCAGAAAGGGAUGCUUGGUCUCAAACAU
rnacentral:snoRNA from 1 species